rnacentral:rRNA from 1 species
AAUAUUGGACAAUGGGCGAAAGCCUGAUCCAGCAAUGCCGCGUGAGUGAUGAAGGCCUUAGGGUUGUAAAGCUCUUUCGGCGGGGAAGAUGAUGACGGUACCCGCAGAAGAAGCCCCGGCUAACUUCGUGCCAGCAGCCGCGGUAAUACGAAGGGGGCUAGCGUUGUUCGGAAUUACUGGGCGUAAAGGGCGCGUAGGCGGCGCAUUAAGUCAGGUGUGAAAGCCCUGGGCUCAACCCAGGAAUUGCACUUGAUACUGAUGUGCUUGAAUCCGGAAGAGGAUGACGGAAUUCCCAGUGUAGAGGUGAAAUUCAUUGAUAUUGGGAAGAACACCAGUGGCGAAGGCGGUCAUCUGGUCCGGUAUUGACGCUGAGGCGCGAAAGCGUGGGGAGCAAACAG